ensembl:lncRNA
GGCGGCGGGGGUGCAGCGAACGCAGGUUCACCCCUCUCCUUUUUCCUUCGCCCUCUCCCUCUGGACUCUGCGCUGAAGCCACAGUGAGGCUCCCCCCUCUUUCUGGUCCCCAGUCGGACUCAGCGAGCCAGGGCUCCGGGCUUUGCGCCGGUGCUGAGGUCAGAGAGGGGAGCCGCGGCCCGCAGGCCUGGACAGCACCCGGGUAAGCAGGGCGCAGCCGCAAUGGCUCGCUCCUAGCUGGGAACCCACGACCCGCGAAGCUGGAGAGCGCACUCGCCGGCCGCUGAGCCCCAGACCCGCCGCAGUCUCCAAACGCGUAAGCCCUGCAGGCAGCGCGGCAGGACGCACGGAAAUCUGUGCCUGCACAGCGCCGAUCUUUCUCCGCUGGACUCUAACGCGCCGCGUAGCCCGAAGCGCUUUCUCUCGGUGGCUACGGCUGUGCAUUUUAAUUCCAAAGCCCAGUGGUUGAAUCAUCUCUAAGUUGGCGGGCGAAGGGGGCGGUGGCAGGAAACUGGGUAGCUGAAUGCCUUUGCCUGCAGGGUGGCAGAGCUGUUCCCACCAAUAGCGACGGCUCAGGGCUGGCUUUGUAGUUAUUUUUACAAGUUCUGCCCGGUGCCCAGCAUAUUGCCCUGAAAAGCAAGAGGCUGCUGCAAUUUAUUCCAAUGAGCGGUUUUUAAGAAGCUGGCAAUUUGAAACGGCUGGGUGUUAUUUAGUGCAAUAUGAAAUCAAAUGAUCCUAUUUCUCAAAUAACAGUGUCUGUGAGGAGAAGUGAAUCCUCUGAAAGGGUAAUUGUCAGCUGAUGGUGUUUCCCAUUAUGCCCGAUCUUGGCCUAAAUGGUGUGCGGCAGCGGGGCUGAGAGCGAGGGCUGAAAUCAACGCGCGAACUCGCGCUCUGAAGGCAAGAAAAGACAGCACCGCUCGCGUCCUGAUCUAGAGAAGCUGAGGAAGAAACGGUAAUUCCCGCAUAGCCGAGGAGCCCGGCCUAGGAAGCUUCCAUCCCAUUCUCAGAGGGAGGUUCAGCCACCGCACCUGUAGCCCAAGGCACUGGACCCCAGGCACGCCAUUUCUGGAGCUCUCUCGGGCCUCUCUAGCUGAAGGAAAGCGGGUAGUCUAGGUUCAGUCGGAGGCAUCCCCUCCAGGAUGUCAUUGCUCGGCUGAAACUCAGCCAGCAGCCGCCCUCCUGCCAGGCCAGGGCACCGCAGGACGCCCGGGCCUCCGGAGUCCGGGUGUGGCGCUUUCAUUCUCUCCUUCCCACUCAGCAUCUAAACAGCCCGGUCUGCAGUUUCCCAGGGUCUUCCGGGGACGUGCCUGCCUCUCCAGGGCCUGCCCUACCCCUGCUGAAAGUUAAGCCCUUCGAUGCGAUCACGAAGAAAGAGGCGACCCUCCCUCUGGCCCGCGAGUGGCCUCCCAGGGGCCCCUCCGAGAAUGCCAUCUCCCGCGCAGACCCGGCGCUCUGCGCUGCUGCGAAAGCACCCACCUGCCUCUUCGGGACAGAACUGCGCCGUGGCGGCGGGGACAGCCUGAGGGCAGCCGCCCUUACCCAUGAGGGCCAAUGCGGGGCGCAGCCUCCAAACCCGGGGUCUCACCUCUCCCAGAGGAAGGGGUGGACACGCCAGAGCCUGUCCUCGACCCCUUAAGAAGAAGAGAGUGGCAGCAAGGAGUCCCUCUAGUAAUCUCGAAGGGGCUUACACUGGCUCCCCGCGCCUCCUCCCCAAUCGGUCAAGCUGGGAACCCCGGAGGCUGCGCCUAGCGUUUCGUUAGCGUCUCUCCGCCUUCCUGAGGCUUUAGGCUCCUGCGCGGCUUUAUAUUCCCUUUCUCCCCGCCCGACGUGCCUGCACCCCGGACCCUGCCCGGCACGGCACCGGGCUGGGGUCCGCGGGCUGGGGAAGAGAAGGGGGGCUUUGGGUAGCUCGACCUGGCCGCCACAUCCCCGCCUGCAGGGAAACCCUCUCAAAGUCCCGGCGCGAGGGAUUGGGGGCCGGGAGGAGACCCAGCGGGGCCAGGAGUCUCGGGGUCCCUGUGG